GAUGAACGCUGGCGGCGUGCCUAAUACAUGCAAGUCGAGCGGACUUCUCAAGAGCUUGCUCUUAAGAAGUUAGCGGCGGACGGGUGAGUAACACGUAGGUAACCUGCCUAUAAGACUGGGAUAACUCCGGGAAACCGGGGCUAAUACCGGAUAACAUUUUGCACCGCAUGGUGCGAAAUUGAAAGGCGGCUUCGGCUGUCACUUAUAGAUGGACCUGCGGCGCAUUAGCUAGUUGGUGAGGUAACGGCUCACCAAGGCGACGAUGCGUAGCCGACCUGAGAGGGUGAUCGGCCACACUGGGACUGAGACACGGCCCAGACUCCUACGGGAGGCAGCAGCAGGGAAUCUUCCGCAAUGGACGAAAGUCUGACGGAGCAACGCCGCGUGAGCGAUGAAGGCCUUCGGGUCGUAAAGCUCUGUUGUUAGGGAAGAACAAGUGCUAGUUGAAUAAGCUGGCACCUUGACGGUACCUAACCAGAAAGCCACGGCUAACUACGUGCCAGCCGCCGCGGUAA
rnacentral:rRNA from 1 species